GAAUCUUCCACAAUGGGCGAAAGCCUGAUGGAGCAACGCCGCGUGAGUGAGGAAGGCUUUCGGGUCGUAAAGCUCUGUUGCCAGGGAAGAAUAAGGGUGAGAGUAACUGCUCAUUCGAUGACGGUACCUGAGAAGAAAGCCCCGGCUAACUACGUGCCAGCAGCCGCGGUAAUACGUAGGGGGCAAGCGUUGUCCGGAAUUAUUGGGCGUAAAGCGCGCGCAGGCGGUUCUUUAAGUCUGGUGUCUAAGUGCGGGGCUCAACCCCGUGAUGCACUGGAAACUGGGGAACUUGAGUGCAGAAGAGGAGAGCGGAAUUCCACGUGUAGCGGUGAAAUGCGUAGAGAUGUGGAGGAACACCAGUGGCGAAGGCGGCUCUCUGGACUGUAACUGACGCUGAGGCGCGAAAGCGUGGGGAGCAAAC
rnacentral:rRNA from 1 species